GUGAAGCAAUUCCCGGGAAAGAGCAGGCCCAUGGUAAGGGUCAGGUCGUCGGUUCAAAUCCGACCGUCAGCUCCA
rnacentral:tRNA from 1 species